CCCUUAGAUGUUCUGGGCUGCACGCGUGCUACACUGAUAUUGCCAAUAUGUCAUUCUUAUCCGAAAUGGAUUGGGUAAUCAAGUAAUGAAAUUUCAUGCUUGGAAUCGGUAAUUGCAAUUUUAUCGUGAACGAGGAAUUCCUAGUAAGCACUAGUCAUCAGCUAAUGUUGAUUAUGUCCCUGCCCUUUGUACACACCGCCCGUCGCUACUACCGAUUGAAUGGUUUAGUGAGGCCUUCGGAUCCGCGAUUUUAUUGUGGAGAAGUUGGACAAACUCAGUCAUUUAGAGGAAGUAAAAGUCGUAACA
rnacentral:rRNA from 1 species